UACGGAAGGCAGCAAUGGGGAAUAUUGCACAAUGGGCGAAAGCCUGAUGCAGCUAUGCCGCGUGUAUGAAGAAGGCCUUAGGGUUGUAAAGUACUUUCAUCGGGGAGGAAAAAACAAAACUAAUAAUUUUAUUUCUUGACGUUACCCGAAAAAGAAGCACCGGCUAACUCCGUGCCAGCAGCCGCGGUAAUACGGAGGGUGCUAGCGUUAAUCAGAAUUACUGGGCGUAAAGAGCACGUAGGUGGUUUUUUUAAGUCAGAUGUGAAAUCCCUGGGCUUAACCUGGAACUGCAUUUUGAAACUGAAAUACUAGAGUAUCGUAGAGGGAGGUAGAAUUCUAGGUGUAGCGGUGAAAUGCGUAGAUAUCUGGAGGAAUACCUGUGGCGAAAGCGGCCUCCUAAACGAAUACUGACACUGAGGUGCGAAAGCGUGGGGAGCAAACAGGGAUUAGAUACC
rnacentral:rRNA from 1 species